ACGUGCGUGCAUGCAUAUAUGCGUGUACAUAUGUAUAUAUAUACAUGCGUGCAUGUGUAUGUAUGUAUAUAUAAAAACAUGCGCAUAUAUAAAAACAUAUACAUAUAUAUGCAUAUUAGGCGUGGCGCGACCGUCGGAAUUCGAGAUAUCGCGGACGAAACUCGGUCGCGUGUACAUCAACGCGGUUUCCGUGAUCGCAAUCGCGAUCGCGAUCGAGGAGGACACCAGUCAGCGGCGCGGCCGCGUUCGCGCUCGCGUUCGCGUUCGCGCUCGCGCGGGAGGAUCUCCUCCUCCUCCUCCUCCCACCAGGGUUCAGCAGACGACUCGCGGUCAGUCAGUCAGUCAGUCGGACGUUUGCUAUCCGAUACGGUUAGCGUGCGCACUCGGAGGACGAAAUCAGUGUCGCCGCCGCCGCCGCUGCCGUCGCCGUCGCUACCGCCGCCGCCGUCGCCGCCGCCGUCGUCGUCGUCGCCGUCGUCGCCGUCGCCGCCGUGUCAGAUGCGCACCGGCGUUACUCCGUGAAGGAGAAGCGAGUACGGUCGGGAGAUAGUAACGCGUCGUCUUCUUCUUCGCCAAUCGUCGUCGUCGUCGUCGUGGGUCUUUUUUGCACGGCCCGUCGCUGCCGCCGCUAACGGGCGAAUAGGUUACGUGGUGUGCAGAAUAGUGCAGAAAGUUUUGUGCAGUGAACGGUCGUUAAUAGACUAGUACCCGCGGCUCCUACGGCUA